CAACGUCCCAGAUCAGCGCGCGUCCCACACCUCCCUCUCUGCCGCAAUCACCGCACAUCCGCGCGACCGCGCGCCUCCCGAUCCGAUCCGAUCCAGAUCGGAUCGCCUCCCCUCCACCCGGAUCCCUCGCCUCCGCGUCGCCGGUCUGCAUUCGCGCCGCCCCCGGUCAGCCCGCGUCGCCGGUCCCCAUCAUCGGCGGCGCCCGACGAGUUUAACCCUUGCGCGGCUCUGCUGGAGUGCGAGUACAAGAACGACGCCGCAGCCGAGAACACGCUGCUCUACUCGGCGGCGUCGGUGGGGGACAUGGCGUUCGUGCAGGAGUUCAUGGACAGGGACCCCUUGCUGGUGUUUGGCGAGGGCGAGUACGGCGUGACGGACAUGUUCUACGCCGCCGCGAGGGGCGGGAACGCCGAGGUGUUCGGGCUGCUGCUGGACCACGCCAUGUCGCCGACGUGCUCGACGAAUUGUCCCAACGGGGAAGGCGCAGCAGCGGUGGUGGCUGCUCCUCGGUGUUCUGGCUGGAAAUGAUGGGCAGGGCAGUCCACGCCGCCGCGAGGGGCGGCAGCGUGGAGAUGCUGAGGGAGCUCAUCGAGCGUCGCUCCGACGUGUCAGAGCAUCUCGACUUCCGUGGAUCCACCGUGCUGCAUGCUGUUGCAGGUAGAGGGCAGCUAGAGGUGACGAAGCAACCCAGCGCUUCCGACUGAGAUGGUUGUGGGACGACUGGUAGCGCCCAGCGGUUGAGUUCUUGGGCGAAGCGGCAAAAUGGCUCGCGAAGGCCAGCGGCAGCUGGAGAUUGACGAUGAAGAAGCGGUCGGUGGAAUUUCUCUUCUCCAUAGCCAUUUAGCCUCUCCUUUCAAGAUAACUCUGUACGCUUGAUGCCCCUCUAAUAAUAGCUUAGGAUUUUUUGAGGCAUCGAUAGCUGCAAUCAGUGCUCAUGUCAUCAUUCAAUGACCUGUAACAAUUUUGAAAGAACUAUGUUGGGCACCAGAUGAACCCAGGCAGAUGUUCUUUGGAUCGGUUUUUGUACACCACAAGGUUCUAUCUGCAGGAAAUUUAACAAAAAAUAAACUGGCCAACUAUAUUCGCUAUGCAAUGGAGUUUAUGGUGAAAGCUCAGUUGCUUUUUGUUCCAUAUAAUAUCCUUGAAUUGUAGUCUGAAACCAACUUCUUAAUAUAAUGGGCAGAGCUCCAACCUU